rnacentral:rRNA from 1 species
UACGUAGGGUGCGAGCGUUGCCCGGAAUUAUUGGGCGUAAAGGGCUCGUAGGCGGUUUGUCGCGUCGGAAGUGAAAACACGGGGCUUAACUCUGUGCUUGCUUUCGAUACGGGCAGACUAGAGGGAUGCAGGGGAGAACGGAAUUCCUGGUGUAGCGGUGAAAUGCGCAGAUAUCAGGAGGAACACCGGUGGCGAAGGCGGUUCUCUGGGCAUUCCCUGACGCUGAGGAGCGAAAGUGUGGGGAGCGAACAGG